CUUCUCCUCUCCCUCUCUCUCUCUCUCUCUCAAAACACACGCACAAGGCAUGCUGUCAAUCUGUCAAAAUGCACAAUCCAAGUCUUUGGCUUCUAAUCAAAAUAAACCUAGGAGGUUUCAUUAAAAGGGAGAAGGGUUCGAAGGGAGCUCAUCUCUCUGAAUCGUCUCACGAAGAAGGGUUACCUGGUACACACUGUGCUACCCCAAUCACUGCGCUACCCUCCUUCUCAACCUCGACCCACUCCUACUCCAAUCACUGCGCUACCCAGCACUCUCAAACCCUCCCAACAACUCUUCAAUCAGAACCACUUCAAACCCUACAUGAUCCCAACCCCGACCUCUGCUUCUCCCUCGACGAUUACUGCGACUUUGGCCCCAAUUUCUUCUACCCUAAUGGCCGAAUCAACUGAAGAACAACUCGAACCUCUCUUCGAUUACCACCGUUUUCAACCCUUCGAUGUUGUCUGCCUCGACGGUCUAUCCUCUCUCUCAUAUAUGUAUGUCUCAGACAUUUGUAUUUUUGAAAUUUGCAGAUGAUUGUUCAGAUUCAUCCCCAGCCUUCUCCCCUAGACGAAAGAAGCUUUUGUACACAGCUGUUGAGAAGGUAGAUAAGAAUGAGAAAUUCAUAAAGGUGUUGAUUAUGAAGAUAAGGAAGAGGAUGAUACAGUGAAACUUGGUGAGGGUUCAACUAUAAAGGAGUUGAGGUUUAUCCUGAAGGAACACAUUUGAUGAUUCCCUGGUUUGAAAGGCCUAUUGUUGAUGAUGUUCGUGCAUGUCCCAAUCUUGUUGAGAGCUCUUCAGGGAGUCAUGAUCUCCAAAUGCUGAGGCUUUGGAAUUGCAGAGACAGCUUAGGCAACUGCAGACUCAGUAUGAUAUGCUCUCUAGUUAGGCUUCAGCUUUGAUCCAAGGAAGAAGGGCACGAGUUGCGGCAACAUCUAGUGUGCUUAAGAAUACCAAUGUUAGACUUAAAGACACUGUUAAUCAGGUGAUUGGGCCAAUAUUUUCUACAUAUUUGAAUCAAUUUGUGUUCCAGGGGUGGGGUGGGGGGCAGGAAAUUUCUAUACUUGGAAGAGGAGGAAGUGGGGGUUUGAGUAUUAAUGGAAUUGCGACAUACCAACCGUUUAAUGGAAUGCCGGAACUAAAAGAGGCACUUUCCAAGACAUUGCUAAUUCUGCUGCUAGGCAAAAAGAGAUUAUGGUGCUUUUGAAGAUCUACUGGGGAGAUGCUUCGGGGAAGAUAUGUGAAGCAAUUGAUAAUAUCCCUCUUAGUUGCCUUGUUAUAGGGAACCGAGGCGUCGGCAAGCUCAAGAGGGUGUUACAUUUUGGACCUUCCGAUCCUCAAGCGAUGGGCUUUGCUUCUGUUGAACUUCAUACCAACUUACCAGUCCCCUCUUCUCGACAUCUCCAGAAGGAGCAGGACUACUGCCUCUGCCUCAACUCCACUAGUUUCCUCUUGCGCAAGGCCAGAUCAAGCAUCAAAUUUUGACCCUGUUGAGCAACCUUCAACUUCUGCAGCAGCCCAACUUAUUCCACUAUCCCAAUGCCAAUGCCAAUGCCAACACCAACACCAACGUCGACCUCCAAAUGCUCAUGCUGGUCAGACUCAAAACUGUAGGCGCUGAGAUUCAGAGGCAUCAGCUUGCCACCCCACCAAUCCUCUCAUUGCUCUACCUGCCAUCAACUUCAACACCAAAGUGACUGUUGCUGUGACCGCCGAGGAGUUAGUUCACAAAUCGGAAAUUGCCGAGGACUUAUUGGCUGGUUUGCCCGAUGUUGUGUCUCUACAGUCCACGCCAUCCUCUCAACCCUAGAAAAAGCCUAAACCAAAACCAAAAUGGGUGAAAAAACUCGAGGUCAAGGCCACUAUCACUAAGAUCUCUUCUAAUUCUGAGAAGGAUCUAGAGGACUUAGUCCCAACGCCGAGAAGAGGCCGAUUGAAGCCGAAUCUACUGAUGCGCCCCCCGCGAAGAAGUCGAGAUCUCAGGACCAGGAUAGUGAUAGUGGCUUCCACCCUCAGGACACCUGGGCCCCUGAGGUCAUCGUGGGAGACUAACCUCUGAAGGCUAUUGACAGUGCCAUUAAGAGCCUUGAGGUUGGGGCUGCUCUAUCAAUAACAAUUUUACUUUUGACAGACAUGAACCAGAUGGCCGACUUCAAUCAGUAUGAAAACUUUGCAAUGACGAUGCGACACUCUAUUCUGGUAAAUCCUUUAGCUUUUAUCUCUCCAUUCAGCUUUAAUUCAGUCUUUUAUACUUGGGAAACUUUUUCUAACAUCCAGUAUGUGCACUGUCAUGAGGCCAAGGCUGAGUUGGUGAAGAAGGACCUUACAAAGAAAACCCAAGAAGCUAUAGGUCUCCUCUCUUCACUUAACAAAGCUAAGGCCAACAAUCGGGGUCUAAUGGACAAGGCCACGACCGCCCAGUCCACUCAACCCAAAGUCGAGGCUGCAACGAGAGAGGUCGAGGAAAAAGCCAAGGCAGCUGAGGCGAAAUAUGCCAAGGCUGAGGUUAAGGCCAAGAUUGCUGAAAAUAAGUCCAAACUUGCUGAGACGUUGGAGGCCAAGGAAGCCGAAAUCAAGGCUGCCGAUGACAAGGCUUCUACUAAAGGCCAGGCCGACGUGCGCGACCAAUAUAAGAAGCAAGUGAAUCUAGCUUGUAAUAAAGGCUAUUUCUUGGGUUGGAUGGCAACGCUCAAGAAGCUAUUUGUCCUUGAGGACUCUCCACUUCGAGACAUUACUCAACUUGAGGUGCCUUUCCCUCUUUCACCAGACAACUCUAAAGCUGAGGCCGAAGAGGAAGAUUUCGAGGCCGAAGACAUAGUCGAGGCCGAGGUUUGUUACUGGAGCCAAGUUCCCCACCCUGAAUGAUCAAGUCCUAGACUUGACUGAGGAAUAUGGGGAUGAGGCUCCCAAGAGCACCUCGCUGAAGAAAAUAAUGAUGCUUGAGGCCGAGGUCGCUGUUGUAGAGAAAAGUCAUGAUGAGACUUUUCAAGAGAUAGAUGCUAAAAUUGUUGCCUAGACCGAAGCAUCGCCAAAAACCAAGGUUGUGCAAUCCGAGAUCAGUGCACAAGAUCCUAAUACUUAGGAUUUUUUUUCUUUCCAUUGUACUUUUUCUUUUGACAACUUUUGAUUUGUCGGGCCGAUGUGCCUUCUGUUUGUAAUUGAACAAGUUUUUUAUUAAUGCAACUCCUGUUUUUCUUACAA